rnacentral:rRNA from 1 species
UACGUAGGUGGCAAGCGUUGUCCGGAUUUACUGGGCGUAAAGAGCGCGCAGGCGGUCGUUCAAGUCGCGUGUGAAAGCCCCCGGCUCAACUGGGGAGGGUCACGCGAUACUGAUCGACUCGAAGGCAGGAGAGGGAAGUGGAAUUCCCGGUGUAGUGGUGAAAUGCGUAGAUAUCGGGAGGAACACCGGUGGCGAAGGCGGCAUCCUGGACCGAUACUGACGCUGAGGAGCGAAAGCCAGGGGAGCAAACGGG